UACGAGGGGGGCGAGCGUUGUUCGGAAUUAUUGGGCGUAAAGGGUGCGUAGGCGGUUCCGCAAGUCCUGUGUGAAAUCUUCGGGCUCAACUCUGGAACUGCCUUUGAUACUGGGUAUCUUGAGUAUGGAAGAGGUAAGUGGAAUUGCGAGUGUAGAGGUGAAAUUCGUAGAUAUUCGCAGGAACACCAGUGGCGAAGGCGGCUUACUGGUCCAUAACUGACGCUGAGGUGCGAAAGCGUGGGGAGCAAACAGG
rnacentral:rRNA from 1 species